rnacentral:rRNA from 1 species
AGUGAACGCUGGCGGUAUGCCUAACACAUGCAAGUCGAACGGCAGCACAGUAAGAUCUUGCUCUUACGGGUGGCGAGUGGCGGACGGGUGAGGAAUACAUCGGAAUCUACUUUUUCGUGGGGGAUAACGGAGGGAAACUUACGCUAAUACCGCAUACGACCUACGGGUGGAAGCAGUGGAUCUUCGGACCUUUCGCGAUUCAAUUAGCCGAUGUCGGAUUAGCUAGUUGGCGGGGUAAAGGCCCACCAAGGCGACGAUCCGUAGCUGGUCUGAGAGGAUGAUCAGCCACACUGGAACUGAGACACGGUCCAGACUCCUACGGGAGGCAGCAGUGGGGAAUAUUCGACAAUGGGCGCAAGCCUGAUCCAGCCAUACCGCGUGAGUGAAGAAGGCCUUCGGGUUGUAAAGCCCUUUUGUUGGGAAAGAAAAGAAGCAGGUUAAUACCCCGCUGUUCUGACGGUACCCAAAGAAUAAGCACCGGCUAACUUCGUG